CCAAUUAUUUAGCAACCCACCUAUUUGGCUGAGUCAUGGACAUGGAGAGGAUGAAUUGACACUGUCUUUACCUACGACAUGCCUGAGGACUCAAGACCUCCAUCCAUCAGGUGGCCAGAGCUGGCAGUGUGUGUCCGAUGAGAAUGAUGCCAGGAUCCUCAGUGAUGAGCAGCAUCACGCUGAGCCAGUUGCUGUGCCACAAGCAGCCCUGCAGGAAGGUCCAUGUGGCUAAGAACUGAGACUUUCUGGAACCAGACAACAAGGAACUAGGCCUUUUCCAACAGCCGUGUGACUGACCCAUGUUUCAUGUGAAUCCCCAGCCCCAGUGAAGCACUCAGAUGAUGCAGCCCUUGGCUGACAACUGGACUGCAGCAUUGUGAGAGGACCUGAGCCAGAAGCACUCAGGGAAACCUCUCCUGGAUUCCCGAACAUUGGAAACUGUGGAAGACCAUGGAUAUUUGUUGUUUUGAGCUGCUAAGUUUUACAUAAUAUGUUGUGCAAUAGUAAAUA
rnacentral:lncRNA from 1 species